CCUACGGGGGGCUGCAGUGAGGAAUAUUGGUCAAUGGGCGGAAGCCUGAACCAGCCAUGCCGCGUGCAGGAAGACGGCCCUACGGGUUGUAAACUGCUUUUCCGGGGGAAGAAUAAGGCCGACGUGUCGGCCGAUGCCGGUACCCCGGGAAUAAGGAUCGGCUAACUCCGUGCCAGCAGCCGCGGUAAUACGGAGGAUCCGAGCGUUACCCGGUUUUACUGGGGUGAAGGGGGGCGUAGAAGGGCGCGGUGAAAUACGGGGGCUCAACCUUCGAACGGCCGUUGAUACUGGGCGCCUUGGAUUCGGUCGAGGCGGGCGGAAUGCGACAUGUAGCGGUGAAAUGCUUAGAUAUGUCGCAGAACGCCGAUUGCGAAGGCAGCUCGCCAGGCCGACAUUGACGCUGAGGCACGAAAGCGUGGGGAUCGAACAGGAUUAGAUACCCUAGUAGUC
rnacentral:rRNA from 1 species